rnacentral:rRNA from 1 species
GACGAACGCUGGCGGCGUGCUUAACACAUGCAAGUCGAACGGAAAGGCCCUGCUUUUGUUGGGUGCUCGAGUGGCGAACGGGUGAGUAACACGUGAGUAACCUGCCCUUGACUUUGGGAUAACUUCAGGAAACUGGGGCUCAUACCGGAUAGGAGCUCCUGCUGCAUGGUGGGGGUUGGAAAGUUUCGGCGGUUGGGGAUGGACUCGCGGCUUAUCAGCUUGUUGGUGGGGUAGUGGUUUACCAGGGCUUUGACGGGUAGCCGGCCUGAGAGGGUGACCGGGGACAUUGGGACUGAGAGACGGCGCAGAAGCCUACGGGAGGCAGCAGGGGGGAACAUGGCACAAUGGGGGGAAGUGUGAGGCAGCAACGCCGCGUGCGGGAUGACGGCCUUCGGGGUGUAAACCGCUGUCGCCUGUGACGAAGCGGGAGUGACGGUAAUGGGUAAAGAAGCACCGGCUAACUACGUG